rnacentral:misc_RNA from 1 species
GGCGAAGAAGUGAAGGCCAUAGUUCCAGAGUCGGUCUUGAAAAAGGCAAAGAGAAAUGAAGAGUGGUCCUUGGGAAGUAAGCAAGAAUUUGAGGCGGCCAAGAAGAAGAGAGCAGAGACCAGGAAACUGAUUUACAAUCGUGCUAAAUUGUACUCAAAGGAAUAUGAGGAGCAGGAAAAAGAGCUCAUUAGGCUGAAGCGUGAAGCAAAGUUGAAGGGAGGA